rnacentral:rRNA from 1 species
UACGUAGGGUGCGAGCGUUAAUCGGAAUUACUGGGCGUAAAGCGUGCGCAGGCGGUUUUGUAAGCCAGAUGUGAAAUCCCCGGGCUUAACCUGGGAAUGGCAUUUGGGACUGCAAGGCUGGAGUUUGGCAGAGGAGACUGGAAUUCCUGGUGUAGCGGUGAAAUGCGCAGAUAUCAGGAGGAACACCUAUUGCGAAGGCAGCUCGCUGGGACGUAACUGACGCUGAGACGCGAAAGCGUGGGGAGCAAACAGG